GCUAUGGGGAUCUGGCACUGUGGUUCCUGCAUGAAACAGUAGCUGGUAGGGCCCGGACCUACACCACCACCUCUGCAGGCACAGUCAAGUCUGCC
rnacentral:miRNA from 1 species